GGAUGGCCUCGGGCCAUCAAGAUGCUCAGAUAUUUUGGCUUCCCCGGAUACUUGGAUACUUGUGCAAGAAGAGACUGCAACUACUGCUAUAACGACGGAUGACAAACGCAGGCAGUUUGCCGGCGAUGAUGAAGUGUCAAUGCAAUGAAAACUAAACCAAUAAAUUGUGAGAGCGACCCAAAUAGUUGGCUAGAAAACCGGCGUGGCGAAGAGGAUUUUCAUUCGUUACCGGAGACGGAGUCGGAGUCGGGAAUGGGAGUCCGGAAUUGUGAGUUCCAGAGUUCAAAAACCGGAGAGAACUAUACCAUCCCGAUGGACACGGAACAUUUGUUGUGAGAAAUUGAAGCGCAAUUCAAGUCGACGGACGGAUGGUGAAAGUAACAAGAUACUUUUAAUAAGACAUCUUGCAAUGCCGCUUAAGAGAUGCGUGAGGCGUGCGACAAAAGUUGUGAAGAGUCUUCGCAGCCCUUUUCCCGGAGAGAUCUUCAUACUUCACUCUUGAAACUCCAUUCCUCAUCCUGUAUCCUACAAUUUGCAGUAUUAGCCAAGCCUGGCUCAUGCAAAAUCCGCCCAUAAUUGACCAAGUUAGCAGACAAAGUCGAAACCCCUGAAAGCCAACUCCAACUUGGACUCCCGACUCCGACACCGAUGGCCGGGCAGACUGGCUGGCGCGUGUUACUUAAUGUGCUUAAUGUGCUCCCCCCAAAAAGAGGAAAAAAUAACCAAUAGACGGACCAUCGGAUCGAACCGAUUGAGUUGGCCUGGCCAGCUUUCUGGCGGAACCGGAGCGCAGCUCCUUAGCCAUCAUACAUACAACACAUAUAACCAAGUUGGAGCUCCAA